CCUACGGGUGGCAGCAGUGAGGAAUAUUGGUCAAUGGGCGGAAGCCUGAACCAGCCAAGUAGCGUGCAGGAUGACGGCCCUACGGGUUGUAAACUGCUUUUAUACGGGAAUAACGCGCCUUACGUGUAGGGCUUUGCAUGUACCGUAUGAAUAAGGACCGGCUAAUUCCGUGCCAGCAGCCGCGGUAAUACGGAAGGUACGGGCGUUAUCCGGAUUUAUGGGGUUAAAGGGGGGCGUGGGCGGCAUGUCAACCGUGCUGUGAAAUGUCCGGGCUCAACCCGGGCCUUGCAGCGCGAACUGGCGUGCUUGAGUCCGCGGAAAGCAGGCGGAAUUCGUCGUGUAGCGGUGAAAUGCUUAGAAAUGACGAAGAACCCCGAUUGCGAAGGCAGCUUGCUGCAGCGGAACUGACGCUGAUGCUCGAAAGCGCGGGUAUCGAACAGGAUUAGAUACCCUGGUAGUC
rnacentral:rRNA from 1 species